GGACAUUGAAACUUAUAUAGGUGGUAUCCUGAUAGUCCUAGAGCUACAAAGUAGUAAGGCAGUGGUUCUCAAAGUGUAGCUCCUUGGACCAGCAGCAUCAGCGUCCACUGGAACUUGUUGGACAGGUCCCAUCAUGCUGGAAAUGCUGAGAUGCAAUUUUGAAGCUGGACAAGCCCUUGAAGAACACAUGGACAAUACAUUCAGUUGUGCAGGAUGGCUUGAAAUUCGUUACAUCUAGAAGAAACUCUGAGCAAGGUGGCAUCAACAAAAUUAAAUCAUCUGCUUGGAAGCCAGGGACCAGCUUAUUAGAUAAUGGACACUAACGUGUGCACAAUGGAUUGAGAGUCAAUUUAUAUUGUCAAGUGGCCAAGGAAUAUGUUAUUUGGGGAGAAUUUUUAAGAAUAUAUUUUUAAAAAUAUCUGAAAUAUCCCCAUUCUCCAACUGCAUGAAUCUGAUCUCUUGGGUCCUAAAAGGAACCUUGACUUAUAUUGAGGUAGAAGUUCCUCAAGGAGAUGAUUUUAGGUUCUACCUGCAGCUUCCUGGAGGUAAAG